rnacentral:rRNA from 1 species
UACGGGGGGAGCAAGCGUUGUUCGGAUUUACUGGGCGUAAAGCGUGCGCAGGCGGUUUUGUAAGACAGAGGUGAAAUCCCCGGGCUCAACCUGGGAACUGCCUUUGUGACUGCAAGGCUUGAGUGCGGCAGAGGGGGAUGGAAUUCCGCGUGUAGCAGUGAAAUGCGUAGAUAUGCGGAGGAACACCGAUGGCGAAGGCAAUCCCCUGGGCCUGCACUGACGCUCAUGCACGAAAGCGUGGGGAGCGAACAGG